GACGUAGGGCGCGAGCGUUGUCCGGAAUUAUUGGGCGUAAAGGGCUCGUAGGCAGCUUGUCGCGUCGACUGUGAAAACCCGCGGCUCAACUGCGGGCCUGCAGCCGAUACGGGCAGGCUAGAGUUCGGUAGGGGAGACUGGAAUUCCUGGUGUAGCGGUGAAAUGCGUAGAGAUGUGGAGGAACACCAGUGGCGAAGGCGACUCUCUGGACCAGUACUGACGCUGAGGCACGAAAGCGUGGGGAGCAAACAGG
rnacentral:rRNA from 1 species